CUCCCACCUAUGCUGGCCCCCUCGCCGCCAGGCCGGACCCCGAGCAGGGGAGAAGGAGGCAGCGACCAGACCUCGGGGGACCUCAUCGGAGAACUCAGCCAGAGAAGGAUCUGGAUGAGGUUUCACCGCCCCGCCUGGACUCCAGUGGACACUCGCAGUCUGCACAGGCCACUAAGAGACGUCUGUAAAACUGGUGAUAGCUUCCUUGUUUCUCCCCCCACAGAGGAUUUCAGCUGCUGCCAAAG